CCUACGGGUGGCAGCAGUGAGGAAUAUUGGGCAAUGGACGAAAGUCUGAACCAGCCAAGUAGCGUGAAGGAUGACGGCCCUAUGGGUUGUAAACUUCUUUUAUAAAGGCAUAAAACGAGGCACGUGUGCCUUUUUGCAUGUACUUUAUGAAUAAGGAUCGGCUAACUCCGUGCCAGCAGCCGCGGUAAUACGGAGGAGCCGAGCGUUAUCCGGAUUUAUUGGGUUUAAAGGGAGCGUAGAUGGGUUGUUAAGUCAGGUGUGAAAGUUGUCGGCUCAACCGGAAAAUUGCACUUGAUACUGGCAGUCUUGAGGACAGUUGAGGUAGGCGGAAUUCGUGGUGUAGCCGUGAAAU
rnacentral:rRNA from 1 species